CACAAUUUAUUUUUUCUACUAAUAGACCACAAAGGGGCUACAUGAUUAAAUUAAAUUGGUGGUACUUUAGACAUAUCCUGAAAAGACAUGACUCACUGGAAAAGAUGUUGAUGCUGAUAAAAGGUGAGAGAAAGAGGGGGAAAAGGAAAACCAAUUUAUAAGUGCACUAGCUCAAUCAAGGAACCCAUAGCCCUGACUUUGUAAGACUUGAAUAUGGCUGUUAAUAACAAAAGAGGUUUCGCUUAAACAUCUCCCAUUCAUAGUGUUUCUAUAAGUCAAAGAUGACUUGGCAGCAUAUAACACAAACAACAUGUGAGGAUUAGACUUGCUAGUCUGAGACAUGGUUUUAAAUGGAUUGUCUUUAAAAUUUUAACUGAUGUUUGGUUGUUUAUUAUCUGUUAUGGUUGAGCCUUAUGGCUCUGAUACUGGGAGACGUGGUCGUAAGACUCCUCGGGAGUCAGAUACUCUCGAGGAGCGAGAAAGGAAGCGGCUGCGGGACUUAUUUGCAGAACCAUCUGACGAGGAUUCCUUUGAGGGUUUUACUGAGAGAAUGGAGGAAGAGAUGGUUAGCUCAGAGGAGGAUGACAUGGAAUGGACUCGUGUGAGGGAGGAUUUGGGUGCCACUGGCAAUGAUAGUAUGGAAGGCGAUUGGGGACCUUCAGGAUUAGACCCGUGGACAAGCUGGAGGGAUGGGACGGGAUCCACAGCUGGGGAUGCUGUGGGGCGUAGUCAAAGGUGUUUCAGUUCUGAUGAGGAAAGUGAUGAGGAAACGCCUGGAAUUAGGGUAACAGCUGAUAGCGAUGAGGAGCUGUAAACUGGCAUAAAAUGGGGUUUGGAAGCAAUGGCUAAUUGCGUUGGGCAAGGUAAUCUGGACGAACGCUUGGGCUCUGUGUGGGAAAUUCCUGAAGACGGGUGUGAUUCGUUUGCUGACUACCUUGGACCUCCGUCGUCUUCUUGACGGACGCCAUCUGUUUAUUCUGGACUGACUGACUGACUGACUACGGCCUCGGACUCUCCUUCCUGUGAUUAUCGUUGGACCUGGUGAACUACAAACGUCUGUACCUGCCUUACGACCCUCGGACCGGAUUGGAACUUCGCUGACCGCUUCUGCCCUUGAAUGCUGCGUUUGUAUCUGGAAAUUGCUUGCUGUGUGGAGGAGUAACCUCUUAGUUACUCAAACAUAGUUUUUGGCAGCAGAGAAGCAUCUGCUGCCAGUUUUUUGUAUUCCUUUGAACCUUUUGUUCACCAGCUUUUGUUUGUUUUAGUCCCAGGCUGAAGUAAGCUUUUUUGGUUUAACCCGGAUUAAACUCCGGUUUAAUCCGGUUUAUCUUUUGAACGUUUUCCUUGUGUCUUUUUACUUUUAAGGCCAAUGUUUGCCUAGCCCUUGUCUUUUACGGGCAUUUUUGGUUCUGUAACUCCAAUAAACUUUGUUAUAUCUUA